GAUGAACGCUGGCGGCGUGCUUAACACAUGCAAGUCGAACGAAGCAUUUUAGCGGAACAUUUUCGGAUGGGAAGUUAAAAUGACUGAGUGGCGGACGGGUGAGUAACGCGUGGAUAACCUACCAUAUACAGGGGGACAACAGUUGGAAACGACUGCUAAUACCGCAUAAGCGCACAGUGCCGCAUGGCACGGUGUGAAAAACUCCGGUGGUAUAUGAUGGAUCCGCGUCUGAUUAGCUAGUUGGUGAGGUAACGGCCCACCAAGGCAACGAUCAGUAGCCGACCUGAGAGGGUGACCGGCCACAUUGGGACUGAGACACGGCCCAAACUCCUACGGGAGGCAGCAGUGGGGAAUAUUGCACAAUGGGCGAAAGCCUGAUGCAGCGACGCCGCGUGAGCGAAGAAGUAUUUCGGUAUGUAAAGCUCUAUCAGCAGGGAAGAAAAUGACGGUACCUGACUAAGAAGCCCCGGUAACUACGUGCCAGC
rnacentral:rRNA from 1 species